rnacentral:rRNA from 1 species
AUCCAUACUGAAACCUAGUGAUGUAUGGAUUAGUGGCGGACGGGUGAGUAACGCGUGGAUAACCUGCCGUAUACAGGGGGAUAACACUUAGAAAUAGGUGCUAAUACCGCAUAAGCGCACGGUUCCGCAUGGAACAGUGUGAAAAACUCCGGUGGUAUACGAUGGAUCCGCGUCUGAUUAGCCAGUUGGUGGGGUAACGGCCCACCAAAGCGACGAUCAGUAGCCGGCCUGAGAGGGUGAACGGCCACAUUGGGACUGAGACACGGCCCAAACUCCUACGGGAGGCAGCAGUGGGGAAUAUUGCACAAUGGGGGAAACCCUGAUGCAGCGACGCCGCGCGAGUGAAGAAGUAUUUCGGUACGUAAAGCUCUAUCAGCAGGGAAGAAAAAAAGUCCUUUGGACUUUGGACGGUACCUGACCAAGAAGCCCCGGCUAACUACGUGCCAGCAGCCGCGGUAAUACGUAGGGGGCAAGCGUUAUCCGGAUUUACUGGGUGUAAAGGGAGCGUAGACGGCAGCGCAAGUCUGGAGUGAAAUGCCGGGGCCCAACCCCGGAACUGCUUUGGAAACUGUGCAGCUCGAGUGCAGGAGAGGUAAGCGGAAUUCCUAGUGUAGCGGUGAAAUGCGUAGAUAUUAGGAGGAACACCAGUGGCGAAGGCGGCUUACUGGACUGUAACUGACGUUGAGGCUCGAAAGCGUGGGGAGCAAACAGGAUUAGAUACCCUGGUAGUCCACGCCGUAAACGAUGAUUACUAGGUGUCGGGGGGCCAAG